ACAGUCUUGCUCUUGCACCUUCCCAUUGCCUCCUACUGCACUACCACUGGAGUACUGUAUUUGUAGUAGAAUCAUUUAGAGAAAUGGAAUUGGUAUAACAGCAGCAGAGGCAGUAGAGGGUGCAGGUAAGCCAAUUUAUUGAAGCAGGCUACCUACCUCUUGUUGGAUUUGGCCAAAGGAGUUGGGAGGGAGCAGUAGCUCAGCAGCAUCUCAUCUCAUUCAUUAAUACACUUAUUACACUACCAGCUGCAACUUGUUGCUGCUGCCUGCCUGCCUGCUACAUCUCUCCUUACCUUUUCCUUCUCUUUCUCUUGGCUUCCCUUCCCUUCCCUUCCUAGGAUGCCCCUAGGUAGACCUGGUCUACAUCCACAGCUCCAUACACAUGUGAUACUAUUUUUCAUUUGGCUAAAUGGAGCUAUUUUUCAUUUUUCUAGGUCUAAUAAUAUUUUGGACCUUAAUCUUUACUAGAAAUUCACAUAUUUCUUUCACUAAAAAAUUCUAUAAAUCAAUUCAUAUAAAGUGGUUUUUUUAAAAAAACAUUUUCUAAAUUUGACG
rnacentral:lncRNA from 1 species